GGGGACGUUACGGAUUCGACAGGGGUAGUUUGAGCUUAAGUUGCGAGUCGAGGGGGUCGGCCUCGUUAAAACGCCACAGCCAAUAACUGGCAAACAAAACAACAACUUAGCUUUAGCUGCGUAAUAGCACUUUAGCUGUUCCUCCCUCCAUCGCCCAUGUGGUAGGGUAAGGGACUCACUCUUAGUGGGCUACGCCGGUUGUCCUCCGCCUGAGGACGAUGGAAGAGAAUAAUCAGGCUAGCGGUCCAGGCGCCUGUCGGCUGGCAGACGGAUCCGCGAAACGCGAAUAAACCGACUACACUCGUAGAAGCUUAAGUGCCAAUAUCUUUGGACGUGGGUUCGAUU
rnacentral:tmRNA from 1 species